UUCCGCAAACCAGUGUGACUGACAGUGGCC
rnacentral:piRNA from 1 species